UCCACGUAAAGUACGUGGGUCGAAGAUUGACUUAGCGUACUUUGUAGGAUGGCUGCGAGGAAAACAAGGAAACCGAGGAAGUAGCCGUUGUUCAAAAGUUCUUCAAUGGUGACGAAACCCUGGGGAGAUGAUGUACGAGGAGGAUUGACGACUUUUAAUUUUGCGCCGUAGCAACGUAGCUGACUAUUCUUGAGAUCGCCAUCGGGCCGGCAAGUGUCGUAGCGUCGCCAAAUAACUUUAGAAUUCCUCCGAUCAAAAAACCGAGCCAGACUUUUCGCCAGUAGCAACGCCAUAGGGAAAGUUGACGUCCGUUUUCGGUUCGCCGCUGCGACGACAAGAGUUAAGAAAUCCGGUGUUCAGAGAGAUUCCACGAAACACUCGGCCUUUGACGGAGGUCCUGCGGUCAUCCAGAGGGACGAACCGUCCUGCGUUUUCCAACUCCAUAUCAAAUGACGCCUCGGAGAUGUCCCGAGAAAUCGAGACAGGAAACCCGCUACGCAAACGCUCUCCAUUGUCCCCCAGGAUGAGUGGAGAGCCGGUUUUAAUGGAGAUAAUCCUUCGGACUCUUUGAUGAAAGACUUCCUGGGAAUCAGCUGCGUCUCGUACUUCUCUAGCUGAUGAUUCUUCGACAUCACUGGCAUCGGCUGUUACACGUCCGCAUGCGAUUUCUUCCCGGAAUCUUUUGCAUAGUUAGGACCCUUAGGACAUUUGAGGUCUCACGGAGUCGGUAUCCGCAUGGACUCGCCGAAUGGAACCGGUACCAAAAUCUCGUCGCAUCACAUGGACAAGCAUCUCUUUACCUUCGAUAGCAAGUGCGCGUCUACGUCUGAUGAUUUUUAAUUUGGAAUUUUAUUAUAAUUCAUGUGAGGCGAAUUAACAAUAACAUAUGAAUAAGUCAUUAUGUCUUCAUGUCCAGUAUUUCUUGGUGUAAUUGCAAAAAUAUUGUAACAUGGUGAUGAAAAAACAUCUUGUGAUUUACAUAUUAGUUUUGAUUAUGGCAAUGAAUAUUUUAAUGAAUAAAUUGUUAAUAUUGUAUUCAAAAGUA